CUUAUUUUCAUGACAACAUAUUCAUUUGAGUUAACAUUAUAUUAGUGCAAAUUAGAAAAAAUUUUAAAAACAACCCAUAUUUUUUAUUGAUGAUCAAAUAAGUACAAUUUAUAUUUUAUUUUGAAUUGUUAAAAUGACUGAUCUACCCUUACUGUAGAAGUUCACUCAUCUGUUUAUGCAUGUCUGGUAUUAAUAAAUAGUAUAGGUAACUGCAAGUUCCAGUUAAAUUAAUAAAAUAUAUAUUUAUAAUUUGAUUUUAAGAAACUUUAAAACAUCACUCACCAAAUACGCUGAACGACUAGUAAAAGAUAAAUAAUUAAUUUAAACAUUAGAAUCCCUGUUUUGUAUACUUCACCUGUGGUCAUUAUUACUUUUCCUCAGAUAUAAUAUGUACCUAUGUUGCAUCUACAUUAUCCAUUUCACAAUAUGAAUACUUAAACUAUACACAAAGGGAACUUAUUUCUUCAUUUGGAUGUCCAUAUAACAAAACAAUAAGUGCU